CUCGUCUCUCAUCUUCCCCUCCCUCAGAAAAAAAACCCUAAAUUCCUUCAUACUUCUCAAAUUCAACCACCACCAGAUUCAUCUCUUGUUUCUGAGUUCACACAAUCAACUCACAGUCAAAACCCACUCAAUCUCUUCUCCGGUUCAUGAAUCUUUUUUUUCUUUGGAUUUUAAAACUAGUUGUAAAUCGUUGCUGCAGAGUUAGGGUUUGCUUGAAUUGAAUUUGGAUAGAAUGGAUUUGAAGGUGAUUGGAUGGCCGUGUCAAUGUAUUUGAGUUGAGAAAUAGAAAGAUUUGUUGAAGCUGCAGUUUCAGUGUGGUUGAGUUGAUAAAUGGAAGGAUUUGUUUAUGUUAAUCAAAGUGGUUUUGAUUUGUAUUCAGGUAGCUGGGUUAAAGACGAUUAACAUUCCCAGUUUCAUCAUCGAGAGAAGAAGAAGAUGAUUGUUUACUUCUUCUCAGAGGAUUUGAUUCGAUUUCUUCCUCUUUGAUUCAACUUAAAGGCAAUUUACAUAAGGCCCUUGAGGGAGCCAGAGAUCUAUCAAAACCUUCACUAACUGAUAUAUUGCAAAAUGAUGCUGAAAAAUCAGAAGAGGGAAGCAAAAGUUUGAAGAAGUGAAGGCAUGAUGAGUCUGAAGAACAAAUUCGAUGAAAUUGGGAGAAAAGAUGAGGUCCGGGGUUCAUAAAUUGAGCAAACAUGGAUGAGAACAACCAACUUGUAAUUUUAGUUUCUCUAUUAUUAAUGAGCUUAGUAUUUGGGUUUCAUCUGAGUGAUCUCAAUUAUCAGGUACUCUCCAUUUUCUCAAAUGGCUAGUAUUUGUGAUAAGCUGAAGAUGUCUUUUGAGGAGGAGGAGGAAAGGAAGAGCAAUGCUACUUAGGUUACUGCAGACUCGGGUUGAUCUUAGAAUAUGCCGCUAAAGGUGAACUUUACAAGGAACUGCAUAAGUGCAAAUAUUUUAGUGAAAAACGAGCUGCAACGGACAUUGCAUCAUUAGCAUGAGCUCUGAUAUACUGUCAUGGAAAGCAUGUCAUACACAGGGACAUUAAUCCAGAGAAUCUCUUGAUUGGAGCUCAGGGUGAACUCAAAAUUGUUGAUUUUGGUUGGUCAGUUCGUACGUUCAACCGUAGGCGGACCAUGUGUGGCACAUUGGAUUACCUGCCACCUUAACUGGGCUUUGAUUGACAAUAUUGCUGAACCUAUAGUGUAUGCACCACAGUUGGGCUAGUUUACCAGAAUUAUAGUGACUUGUUUAGAAGUCUUAGAGGAAUGUAUUCGUGUAGAAAUGACGUAUAUGGUUUAUAUUUGGCUUGCCGAUAGUGGGUUAGUUAUACUUGUUCUGCCCAGAUACAUGCUUUUCCGUGUUAGAUCUUUGUAAGGGUGCCGCUAAGAGACUGCCGUUGCUAUUUCUUUGGAAAUGACAAGAUUACGUUGAGGGUGCAACAAAAUCAUACCUAAGAACAGUGGACAACUCUUACAUUGAUAGCUCUGACAAGGUGUUUAUUACCAAGUAACCUCCAACUGCAUCUAUCCAAUCUGGGCAAAAAGCAGACUACAAGUUGUGGAGAUUCAGGAUUUGGUGGUUUGCUUUACACUUGUAUUUAAGACACAUUGGAACCUAUUAGCUAGGACUUGUAGACUUGGAUAUUUUUCUUAAAGUUAAGUGUCUAACUGAUGAAUUAAGUUAUGAAUUGUACAAUGAAUAUUGAUUUUUAAAUAAAUGAUCAUUUGAAUUUAUGAA